CUGCGUUGUCUUUUCUCCUCGAGAGUGAUCCUGCGUGUGUUCUCAAAGGAAACAGCAGUGUUAUAGAUGGUGUGUCUCCAGGCCUCCCGAUCAGAGGCCAGAGUAGAUCGGUUAUGUUGAUCACUAUGGCCAAGGCUGAGUGCCACGGCCCGUUGGAAGAGGAAUAGGGAUGCAACACGGCACAAAGGGCUCUGGUACACUUUCCUUUAUUAACUGUCCCUGUGGACAGAGAUCACACAAGCUCAGUCUACUCAAUCUGCUUCAGGAAAAGAUAGGAAGAAAAUUUACGAUUAUCAGAAACAAUAUUCUCAACACUCAGACAGGAUGAAGAGAUCAGAGAAGACAAGAGAUGGACUGGUAUCAAGAAGGUGGAAAAAAUUCCUUCUUUUUGGCAGAAAAAUGAGGGAGGAACAUGUAUAAAGCUCUUCAGACAUCAGUAAAAAUUAAAAAGUACCUGUUC